rnacentral:lncRNA from 1 species
AUGGUGAAAUUGAAGCUCAGAAAGAUGCUCAAGGUCACACAGCCAGGGAGUGACAAUCUGGCUCUAGCACCUGUUACCUACCCUCUACUCUACUCUCAAAAGUCAGGGUUAACUACAGCUUCCAGGCUAAGAGAAGCCUGUUUCUGUGAAGAGGAGAGCAUGAAAUAUGUGGAAUAUCGUGCUGAGACCUUUAUCACAAGACAGAACCCAGAGGAUUCAGACAGACGAAGAAGUCAGGAAGCUUGCAUGUCAUAUCCUGCUGGAGGCACAAAAACCACAAGCCCCUACAUGUCAUCAAACUGA